rnacentral:rRNA from 1 species
AGAGUUUGAUCCUGGCUCAGAACGAACGCUGGCGGCGCGUCUUAAGCAUGCAAGUCGAACGGCAAGAAGAGAGCUUGCUCUCUUCCUAGAGUGGCGGACUGGUGAGUAACACGUGGGUGACGUACCCUUUGGACGGGGAUAGCCGAUAGAAAUAUCGGGUAAUACCGGAUAAGGACACACAGGUUGGAGCUGUGUGUGGAAAGUAGCUACGGCUACGCCGAAGGAACGGCCUGCGACCCAUCAGCUAGUAGGUGAGGUAAGAGCCCACCUAGGCAAUGACGGGUAUCCGGCCUGAGAGGGUGAACGGACACAUUGGGACUGAGAUACGGCCCAGACUCCUACGGGAGGCAGCAGCUAAGAAUAUUCCGCAAUGGACGAAAGUCUGACGGAGCGACGCCGCGUGGACGAUGAAGACCGGAAGGUUGUAAAGUCCUUUUAUUAUUGAAGAAUAAUCAGAAGAGGGAAUGCUUCUGAGGUGACCGUAGAUAAUGAAUAAGCACCGGCUAAUUACGUGCCAGCAGCCGCGGUAACACGUAAGGUGCGAGCGUUGUUCGGAAUUAUUGGGCGUACAGGGCAUGUAGGCGGCAUCGUAAGCUUGGUGUGAAAUCCCGGGGCUUAACCCCGGAACUGCAUUGAGAACUGCGGAGCUAGAAUCACUGAGGGGCAACCGGAAUUCCAGGUGUAGGGGUGAAAUCUGUAGAUAUCUGGAAGAACACCAAUGGCGAAGGCAGGUUGCUAGCGGAUGAUUGACGCUGAGGUGCGAAGGUGCGGGGAGCGAACAGGAUUAGAUACCCUGGUAGUCCGCACAGUAAACUAUGUACACUUGGUGUCCGGGUUUGAGCCUGGGUGCCGAAGCAAACGCGAUAAGUGUACCGCCU